CGAUCAGUUUCUUGUAACAACCCAAAGGCGUGCUGCCUGAAGGAAUACAGCCGAGAGUUAACAGAGCACAGACAGGAUCUGGAUGGAUCAUGUGAUUUCUUGAAGUUGGAUGGAAACAGCGCCCCACCGCGGCAGAGAAGCUAAGGUGAUAAAAUUAGACGAUUAUUUCCAGCAGCAGUGUAAAGACAAAUGGAAAGAAGGCGUUACACAGCAAAUACUUAUAAGUAAGUCAGUACAAAAAUAAAUACACAAGGGCAACACACAAUUAAAAAGUAACACGAGUUCAACAAAAUGACCAGACUGAGACUAAUAAAGUUAAAUUAUGAGAAUUGAAUCGUAAACAUAUGAUAAUAAAGUGUUGCGAAUAAAAGUCAAAUUAAAUUUAAUAAAGUCUUUAUGUGAGAAUAGACUUAGAAAAGUAAAGUCGGCAAUUUAACUUUAAAGAGAGGAGAACCCAACGUUAACUAUAGAUUGUUAGAUUGGAAACACAGAUAAUCUGGAUGAAGUUACAUUUAAUGUUGGUUUCAAGAGAAAAAUUAUUUUAUUUUUCAUCUUCCGGAAAACAAGGACAUUUCAAAGUUUGUAAGAAACUGCUUCAAAUAUCUCAACCAGUCCGCAGUCAGUUCAAAGUGGUAUAACGGGUGAGACCAGUGUGUUGUGACGUUAAAAUAUGUAGGUUACUGUACUGUUCACGUAAACAACAGCAACGUGUUGAUCUUAAUAUAGUGUUAGUUUUUUAUUGUGAAUUGUUGUUUUUUUUUCAAUCAACAUGCAGAUGUAAAAAUGUUCCAGUAUGAACCAGACAAUAUUUAUUUACCACGACUCACCACGAGUUUAUUUACUCACGGGGUUCUCAUGGACAUUCUUAAAACCUCGACUGAAAUGUUUACUCAGGAAAUAAACUGUACCUGUGGGUUUGGAUAACUUUAUUAAAAUCAUAUUGUGACACAGACCAGGACACGUACAGACCACACAACAGAAAUAAAUACCAUCAUGUGUACAGCGCUCAUUGUCAAACAGGCUUAUUGCAGCUGACUUUUAAUUUAUGUCAUCCAAAAAAAGAGGAGGGCAUGCUGUGUCAUCAGACAGAGAUA